UACGUAGGGUGCGAGCGUUGUCCGGAAUUAUUGGGCGUAAAGGGCUCGUAGGCGGUUUGUCGCGUCGGGAGUGAAAUCCACUGGCUUAACUGGUGGCUUGCUUUCGAUACGGGCAGACUGGAGGUAUGCAGGGGAGAACGGAAUUCCUGGUGUAGCGGUGAAAUGCGCAGAUAUCAGGAGGAACACCGGUGGCGAAGGCGGUCCUCUGGGACGAU
rnacentral:rRNA from 1 species